UGGUGUGUGUAACUUCUAUGUUACAGGGGUGUCGGUUGUAGCCUUGUUGGUAUAAGGACAUAGGCAGACAAGGUUCUUUAGGGGAUCAAAUAUCUUUUAUUAGACCAAC